UCAGCUUGUAAGUGUCCUGCCUGGGUCUGACGUGGCAUCCCCUGCACUAACCUUGCUUCCUUUACUGCAGCCUCCUAGGACCUGCACACCUCAGGCCUUGCCGUCAGCCAUGCUGUGGGGCUCUGCGCCCAAGCUCUGUCCACUUCACUGUGCCUGGAGGAGUCAGCAAAUAGUGCCCACCUUGGUCCUGUGGCCUGUGAUGCAGGCAGAAGAGCGUGUGUCCCCUGGGAGCCGCUGUGGCUGCUGUCUCGGGGACAGGAGGAAUGUGAGCAGAGCCUGAAGGAGUGGAGCUCACAGACACGAAUGAAGCACCCUCCCACCUGCAGGCCUGUGCUGGCAGAUAUCCCUUUGGAGACCAGUUUCACCAGAGCUUUGGAACUCAGGAAAAGCAGACUGCACUGUUCAGUGUCCGGGUCCUCCCUGCCCAGCUGCUGGCAGCAAAGAUUGCUGUAGACUUUCAAGGUCCAGAUACCAAGUGUGAAGGAGCAGAGCAGCCACAGGAUGGCAGCACCCUAAAGAAUAAAGGAUCACUCACUGGCGGUCCUCCUGGGAUUUGGAGAAAUCCCUGGGAACCCAGGAAAAAACUCAAAUGGAAUCACUGUGCCUCCUCCUGGAGUCCAGAAGGUGAGAGAGGUGAGUGGCAGGAUCCAGAUCUCA
rnacentral:lncRNA from 1 species